rnacentral:SRP_RNA from 1 species
GCUGGGUGUGGUGGUGCAUGCCUGUAAUCCCAGCUACUUGGGAGGCUGAGGCAGGAGAAUUGCUUGAACCUGGGAGGUGGAGGUUGCAGUGAGCAAAGAUUGUGCCACUGCACUCCAGCCUGGGUGACAGAGAGAGAUUCUGUCUCAA